UACAGAGGUCUCAAGCGUUGUUCGGAUUCAUUGGGCGUAAAGGGUGUGUAGGUGGCGCGCUAAGUCGGGUGUGAAAUUUCGGAGCUUAACUCCGAAACUGCAUUCGAUACUGGCGUGCUUGAGGACUGGAGAGGAGACUGGAAUUCAUGGUGUAGAAGUGAAAUGCGUAGAGAUCAUGAGGAAGACCAGUGGCGAAGGCGGGUCUCUGGACAGUUCCUGACACUGAGACACGAAGGCCAGGGGAGCAAACGGG
rnacentral:rRNA from 1 species